rnacentral:rRNA from 1 species
GACGAACGCUGGCGGCGUGCUUAACACAUGCAAGUCGAACGGAAAGGCCCUGCUUUUGUGGGGUGCUCGAGUGGCGAACGGGUGAGUAACACGUGAGUAACCUGCCCCUGACUUUGGGAUAACUUCAGGAAACUGGGGCUAAUACCGGAUAGGAGCUCCUGCUGCAUGGUGGGGGUUGGAAAGUUUCGGCGGUUGGGGAUGGACUCGCGGCUUAUCAGCUUGUUGGUGGGGUAGUGGCUUACCAAGGCUUUGACGGGUAGCCGGCCUGAGAGGGUGACCGGCCACAUUGGGACUGAGAUACGGCCCAGACUCCUACGGGAGGCAGCAGUGGGGAAUAUUGCACAAUGGGCGGAAGCCUGAUGCAGCAACGCCGCGUGCGGGAUGACGGCCUUCGGGCUGUAAACCGCUUUCGCCUGUGACGAAGCGUGAGUGACGGUAAUGGGUAAAGAAGCACCGGCUAACUACGUG